AUUGAACGCUGGCGGCAUGCCUUACACAUGCAAGUCGAACGGCAGCGCGGGCUUCGGCCUGGCGGCGAGUGGCGAACGGGUGAGUAAUAUAUCGGAACGUGCCCUAGAGUGGGGGAUAACGUAGCGAAAGUUACGCUAAUACCGCAUACGAUCUAUGGAUGAAAGUGGGGGACCGUAAGGCCUCACGCUCCUGGAGCGGCCGAUAUCUGAUUAGCUAGUUGGUAGGGUAAAAGCCUACCAAGGCGACGAUCAGUAGCUGGUCUGAGAGGACGACCGGCCACACUGGGACUGAGACACGGCCCAGACUCCUACGGGAGGCAGCAGUGGGGAAUUUUGGACAAUGGGGGCAACCCUGAUCCAGCAAUGCAGCGUGUGUGAAGAAGGCCUUCGGGUUGUAAAGCACUUUUGUCAGGAACGAAACGGUGGGGGCUAAUAUCCUCUGCUAAUGACGGUACCUGAAGAAUAAGCACCGGCUAACUACGUGCCAGCCGCCGCGGUAA
rnacentral:rRNA from 1 species